rnacentral:rRNA from 1 species
UACGGGGGGGGGCAAGCGUUUGUUCGGAAUUACUGGGCGUAAAGGGCUCGUAGGUGGCCAACUAAGUCAGACGUGAAAUCCCUCGGCUUAACCGGGGAACUGCGUCUGAUACUGGAUGGCUUGAGUUCGGGAGAGGGAUGCGGAAUUCCAGGUGGAGCGGUGAAAUGCAUUGAGAUCGGAAAGAACACCAACGGCGAAAGCACUCUGCUGGGCCGACACUGACACUGAGAGACGAAAGCUAGGGGAGCAAAUGGG